rnacentral:rRNA from 1 species
CCUACGGGAGGCAGCAGUGAGGAAUAUUGGUCAAUGGGCGCGAGCCUGAACCAGCCAAGUCGCGUGAGGGAAGACGGUCCUAUGGAUUGUAAACCUCUUUUGUCGGGGAGCAAAAGACGCCACGCGUGGCGUUCCGAGAGUACCCGAAGAAAAAGCAUCGGCUAACUCCGUGCCAGCAGCCGCGGUAAUACGGAGGAAGCGAGCGUUAUCCGGAUUUAUGGGGCUAAAAGGGUGCGCAGGCGGAAGGUCAAGUCAGCGGUAAAAUUGAGAGGCUCAACCUCUUCGAGCCGUUGAAACUGGUUUUCUUGAGUGAGCGAGAAGUAAGCGGAAUGCGUGGUGUAGCGGUGAAAUGCGUAGAUAUCACGCAGAACUCCGAUUGCGAAGGCAGCAUACCGGCGCUCAACUGACGCUGAUGCACGAAAGUGUGGGUAUCGAACAGGAUUAGAUACCCCGGUAGUC